rnacentral:lncRNA from 1 species
CCUCCUAAAAGUCUGGUGACUAUCAUGCAAUGUUUACGCUGAACUAUAAACUCCAUGAAGGCAAAGGAUUGGCCCGUCCCUCCUUCACCAGUGAGGUCAGAGCCUCAAUAAACACUUGCUCAACAAAUUUUCAAAAUUCCAUUCCUACAUAAAUUGGGAAUAAAGCUUGAAAUACAUCAAUUUUCUAUAGAGAACUGUCAGUAACUAGAAACAUGUCAUGAAACAAAUGAUGAGGUCUCAGUUAUCUAAAGGGAAGACAGUAACUGAAGAAAUAAGCUGUUUACAAGAUCCCAUCUCAUUAGGUUUAAAGCUUCCUUUCCCUGCAACAGCACAAAAAGGAACAGGCCACUCUAUUUAUGUCACUUUCAUCACCACCACUAACUCAGUGUAUUUAUUUUCCUGGGAGCUGAACUCUUGCCAAUACCAAUAGCCAUAGCUUAAAUAUCCUGUCUGGUUUCCUGACUGCCUGUGACAGAACUGCUGUGAUCACUCGUCUGUUUGCAACUCUAGUCCUCUUCACACACUACCGGGGAUGACUAGCCUCAAGACAUGAACUAUAGAGUUUUGUUAUAUUUACAUCUCAAAAGAUUUGGGGAUGAAUGCCAGGCUUCCUUUCAUUCUAUGAAGAUGCUGGCAAAAUCCUACUCAUUGUGCAAGAGUAAGACAAGUUAUUGCUCAUUUUGUUGAUUAUUAAAAAACUACACCUCCACCCUACCUGUCAAUGCAAUCCAACCAUUUCUCUUCUUCGUAGUGAGCCAAGUUUGUCUUGUCCCGAUGCAAAGCAAACCAAACACUGAGACACUGAGAUCUGCUGCAAAGGGUUGACGAGCAAAGCAGCCAAGCGAGGAGAUGGGAGAACAAACCUCAAAUCUGACCCCCAGCAGGCAAGGCGCUUGGGUAUUUAUGGGAUACGGAUAAAGACGCCAGCGUGAGGCGUGAGGAACGUGGGGAAAAGUGAUGGGAAAAAGGUGCGGGAAUCACCCUUCUGGAUGGGUGUAAAUAAGCUACAGGCCUCUGCCCCUUCUGAGGGUGGAGUUUGGGGCCCUCCAAUGGCAAAAGGUCACCGAGCGGACACUCGCGCAUGCCCAGUGGGAGGGUCGGUUUUCCCAUCCAGUCUUAACCAGCUCAGCUCAAACUAGACCCAGCUGACUCCCGGCUCUUGGAAAUUAACUCUGGCAAACAUCUUAAUGCUGAGGCUAAGUGCUGCUUGGAGAAUAGGCAAGUUUUAAAACAACCCUGAUUAGUGAAGGCAGGAGGAAUGGAUCUGAAAGAUUACUCAUGGGUUUAUUUCUAAAAUUACAAAUCUGAUCUUGUCACUUACCUACAUAAGAAACUCUGGUGCACUACCACUGGGCCUCCCAAAAGUCGAAGAUCCCUGACGCAGUGUAUGAAUCCGACUGCCUUUUCCAGCCUCCUUCCCCUUCCCCUCCUCUCAAAUAUCCUCAGGGCUGGUCAGCUUAGACCACUUACCAUUUCCCUAACACACCAUAUUUUUUUUAAUAGUUCCACGAGUAUGAACUGUCCCUUUAAGAUGCCCCCUUCCCUUUUUCUCUACCCAGUGGGCUUUUUAAGAAUCAGCUCAAAAGGCUUAUCUUCUGAGAAGCCUUCUGGGACUUUCCAGGAUAGUGAGUCUCAGCUGUCUCCAUCUCUCCCACUGGGUGAGUGGUGAAUGCAAUUAAAUGCCUCUUGGCAGUGUGCUCUCAUAGCCCCUAUCUGCUCUUCAUCCCAUCCCUGGGGCCUGGCUCAUGCAGGUGCUCAGUAUGGAACACAGAUUUGCAGAGUUCAACUAACUUCUGCUGCCCCACCUGUGUGUGAAGCUGACAAAAGUGGGUGUGGUGGCCUGGGCAGUUCUGCCUCCUGUGGCCACUAUGGCUUCCAUCCAAGGUGAGCUUGUUGGUAUUUGUGGCUGUUUUGCUUAUCAGUGCUCUGGCUUCAAUUGCUCUGUUAUGAGUCUCUCUUGUAAAUGAAAAAUACUGGAAAAUCUCACUUACAAAAGUGAAAAAGGUGAACUCACAGAAACCAAGAAUGUGGCUAACAAGGGUUGGGAGUUGGGUGAAAUGGGGAUAUAUUUAUCAAAGGGUAUAAACUUUCUCUUAUUAAGAUGAAUAAGUCCUAGAGACCUAUGUACAGCAUGGCUUAAUUCAAUACUUAUUCAACAUAAUGUGUGACAUAAAAGUCAAUGUUGAUUGAACUGAUAUCAUAGGUAAUCAAAUCAGAUAUCAUAGGUAAUCUCUCUUGAUAUUUACCUGAUUCUCUUUUGCUGUGAUUUAAGUCAGGAGAAAUUAAGAAUAUCUUCAGAAAACUCACCACCAGAUUUUAGAGGAAACAGAAAUUCACAGUCAUGUCAAGUUUAUAAAUGAAUUUUAAAAACCACUAGGAUUACUAGACCACCAGGUUUUUUUCACCAGCAGCAUAACACACACUGUUGGUUCAGUACAGAAAGCUGGCUAUGGGUGCUCUCAGGACAGAGAAUUUUUUAUUGACGUCAGCACCAAUACUUUAAAGCUUGAUGGUGGCAUAAAUCCAUCAAUGAUUCUGACUCAUGACUGAUUCAUUUUUCUAGUUGCUUGACUUUAAAAGAUGCCAUAGUGCCCUCAGAAAGUGCAUCAACAAUAAUGGUACCUUUUGAAACUUGUGUCAUCAUUUCUUCUUUGGUCUGAAUGCAUCCAAAAAACUUUAUAAAAUUCAUAAUGAAUCCAUCAAUUACUAAUUACUUAAUGCCAACUAUGGCACAGCACAUUGCUAGGUACUGUAAAGGAUAUGCAUGUACAAAAAAAAUUCAGGAAGAAUUCUUUCCUUGACGAAACUGAUAAAUCAGAAUGAGGUUUCACCUUAGGUCCCUUAUUUUGAUUUUUCUUGAGUACUCACAGAGCAGAGUGUUCACUGUCUGCAAGGCACUGCAGUGGGGCUGCUGGGGAUGCUACAGACUUUGGUCCUGAAUGCAGACCUGUUGCAGUAAGACAAUGCCCAGGAGAAGCUCAGGUGACACAAAGUGUGACAGUCUGAGUAUACAUGUCAAUGGAGUGCUAGGGGAAGGGAGACAGGAGCUUGUGGCUGGACAAGCAACAGAUGCAGAGGAAAGAUCAGAACAGACACUGCGGAAUUGGAGAUUGUGGCAUCUGAGUUCAGCCUCAAAGGAUGCAGAAAGAAAAGAGGAAGGUCACUGGGGAGAGAACAUGACCAAGAGUUGUUAUGCAGAAACAAGUGAGAUUAUUUUGAGGGCAAAGGAGUAGUUCAGCUUGAAACUUGGCAGAAAACACAGAUGGAGAAGGAGGUGGGGGUAAUAUCCCAGGGCUACGAAUAAUAGAGGCUAAGGAAUUUGAAAAUCAACCCUUAAGCUAAUAAAAUGAUUUUGGAAAAAGUGAGAGGUCAGAAGGACAAUUAUUUAAGAUGAUUUGGCAUUGGUGAGAUGGAGCUAAAGGAGGACAAAUAAGAGCUUCUAUGGCUGAUGCUUCUGCCCCAACCCAGGUGUAUGAGCUGAACACAACAGUGAAUCUUCUGAUUCAUGUUUAGAGCUUCUGUCAAAUAGAAAUCUAUUAGCUGCUUGUGGAAUUUGCCUCACAAAGCUUUGGCUUCAAACACAUUCUUACAAAGUCUCUCUUGUCACUGGCACUGAGUAGUCUGUGUGCUUUCUAUGUGCCUAGAACUAUUCUAAGCGUUGUAAGACCAAAGUGCCAAAAAACAUAUACAGAAAAAAAUGCUCACCAUUUCUAGCAAAGACCAAACCAAACUUGUAGUAUAAUGUGUAUAUUUUACACAGCACCUGAUAUUUACAAAGCACUGGACAAGUGACUGGUUCAAUUUUUUUGAGUAUUUUCAAUAUUGUUGAAUCCAAAAAAGCACUAUAACCUCCCUUGGCAUUGGGUUAAUUUCAUGUCCACUUGAUUGGGCCACAAUGCCCAGAUAAUGUGGUUAAGCAUUAUUCUGAGGGUGUUUUUGAAUAAGAUUGACACUUAAAUCAGUAGACUUUAAGCAGACUGCCUUCCAGAAUGGGGGAGGGACCUACCCAACCAGGUGAUGGCCUGAAUGAAACAAAAGACUGAGCUUCCAGAGUAAGAGGGAAUUCUGCAAACAGACAACCUUUAAGUUUGAAGUGCAAUGUCAGCUCUGUUCUGGGGCUUCAGCUUGCCCUACACAGUUUGGACUCAGUAGUUUCCAUAAUUGUGUGAGUUAAUUCCUUAACAUAUAUCUCUUUCUCUGUAUUUGCACAUCCUAUUGGUUCUGUUCCUCUGGAGAAUCCUGAUCAAUACACUGAUAAAACAUGCCAGAGUUUUCACAACCUGCUUCAUGUCUGCCUGAAUCUUCUUAUGAUCAUCUUCUCUAAAAAUGCCCUUGACAUGAAAUUUAUGGGAUAACAGAUAAGGGCUAUGGGCUGUGGGUAGGAGUAUCUAGUUAGAUUUGCUAGGUUUUCUUUAGCAACAAUUAUGCCUGUGAAACCUGUGCAUUUCAUAAGCACUCCACUUAGCCAGAAGUUAACUGUACAGUGAGAGCCUUCUAUUUAACAGGUAGAGCAGAAGUGAGUUGUCUGAACUGAAAAAAAAAAUAUGUCAGUGAUCAUCCUCGUUAUUGAAUUCCAGGUAAAACAUUAAUGUACCUUCAUAUGCGAUUUCACUGAAUAAAAUUUCAAUAUCACUCCAAAAUGAGUGGCCCACGAUAGUCACCAAGUCUAAGGAUAUAGCCAUCCAGGCCCAUUAUAGGAAUCCAAGCCCACACUCGGACCUCCGUAGCUAGACUAACACCAUCGCAUGCCAAGUGAGCCAAAGUGCUGGCCCUCCAAAGACAGUGAGGUGAACAAAGUUACCGUGUUUCUACUUCCUGUUUUCAUCAGUCCAAUCCCAAAGCAUCUGAUACUUUGUCUUGAAUUAUACUGUAUUCCCUAUAAUAAUCUUUCCUUCUUUGCAAUGAACAUCUAAUAUCAAAGAGAAUGAGCAAGAGGGCAAGGCCAAGACUUCAACUUGUGAAGAAGGAAAGGUAUGGUUUCAGAGUUUUUAAUUUUUUUUUUUCUUUUUACAGCUGCACUUGGGACAUAUGGAAGUUCCUGGGCUAGGGGUCAAAUUGGAGCUGCAGCUGCUGGCCUACACCACAGC